UACGUAGGGUCCGAGCGUUUGUCCGGAAUUAUUGGGCGUAAAGGGCUCGUAGGCGGUCUGUUGCGUCGGGAGUGAAAACUUACAGCUUAACUGUGAGCGUGCUUCCGAUACGGGCAGACUUGAGGUAUUCAGGGGAGAACGGAAUUCCUGGUGUAGCGGUGAAAUGCGCAGAUAUCAGGAGGAACACCGGUGGCGAAGGCGGUUCUC
rnacentral:rRNA from 1 species